GAUGAAGAACGUAGUGAAAUGCGAUAAGUAAUGUGAAUUGCAGAAUUCAGUGAAUCAUCGAAUCUUUGAACGCACAUUGCGCCCGCCAGUAUUCUGGCGGGCAUGCCUGUUCGAGCGUCAUUUCAACCAUCAAGCCCCCGGGCUUGUGUUGGGGACCUGCGGCUGCCGCAGGCCCUGAAAAGCAGUGGCGGGCUCGCUGUCACACCGAGCGUAGUAGAUUUUAUCUCGCUCAGGGCGUGCUGCGGGUUCCGGCCGUUAAACCACCUUCAUAACCCAAGGUUGACCUCGCAUCAGGUAGGAAGACCCGCUGAACUUAAGCAUAUCAAUAAGCGGAGGA
rnacentral:misc_RNA from 1 species